rnacentral:rRNA from 1 species
GAUGAACGCUAGCUACAGGCUUAACACAUGCAAGUCGAGGGGUAACGAGAGGAAAGCUUGCUUUCCUUGUCGACGACCGGCGCACGGGUGAGUAACGCGUAUCCAACCUGCCCCCAACUAGGGAAUAACCUUGCGAAAGUAAGACUAAUACCCUAUAAUUUCCUCAGAUGCCAUCUGACGAGGAAUAAAGAUUUAUCAGUUGUUGAUGGGGAUGCGUCUGAUUAGCUUGUUGGCGGGGUAACGGCCCACCAAGGCAACGAUCAGUAGGGGUUCUGAGAGGAAGGUCCCCCACAUUGGAACUGAGACACGGUCCAAACUCCUACGGGAGGCAGCAGUGAGGAAUAUUGGUCAAUGGGCGGAAGCCUGAACCAGCCAAGUAGCGUGCAGGAUGACGGCCCUAUGGGUUGUAAACUGCUUUUAUACAGGAAUAAAGUUAGCCACGUGUGGUUAUUUGUAGGUACUGUAUGAAUAAGGACCGGCUAAUUCCGUGCCAGCAGCCGCCGUAA